AGAGUUUGAUCCUGGCUCAGGAUGAACGCUAGCGACAGGCCUAACACAUGCAAGUCGAGGGGCAUCGGGGCGAGGAGCAAUCCUUGCCGCCGGCGACCGGCGCACGGGUGAGUAACGCGUAUGCGACCUGCCCGUUGCAGGGGGAUAAUCGGGAGAAAUCCCGUCUAAUACCGCGUAAUGCCGCGGGGCUGCAUGGCCCUGCGGCCAAAGGGAGCGAUUCCGGCAACGGAUGGGCAUGCGUGACAUUAGCUAGUUGGCGGGGCAACGGCCCACCAAGGCGACGAUGUCUAGGGGUUCUGAGAGGAAGGUCCCCCACACUGGUACUGAGACACGGACCAGACUCCUACGGGAGGCAGCAGUGAGGAAUAUUGGUCAAUGGGCGCGAGCCUGAACCAGCCAAGUCGCGUGAGGGAUGACGGCCCUACGGGUUGUAAACCUCUUUUGUCGGGGAGCAAAUUCCGCCACGUGUGGCGGAGUCGAGAGUACCCGAAGAAAAAGCAUCGGCUAACUCCGUGCCAGCAGCCGCGGUAAUACGGAGGAUGCGAGCGUUAUCCGGAUUUAUUGGGUUUAAAGGGUGCGUAGGCGGACUGUCAAGUCAGCGGUAAAAUACGGGGGCUCAACCUCCGCCCGCCGUUGAAACUGACGGUCUUGAGUGGGCGAGAAGUAUGCGGAAUGCGUGGUGUAGCGGUGAAAUGCAUAGAUAUCACGCAGAACUCCGAUUGCGAAGGCAGCAUACCGGCGCCCAACUGACGCUGAAGCACGAAAGCGUGGGUAUCGAACAGGAUUAGAUACCCUGGUAGUCCACGCAGUAAACGAUGAAUACUAGCUGUCCGGGGCGAAUGAGCCCUGGGUGGCACAGCGAAAGCGUUAAGUAUUCCACCUGGGGAGUACGCCGGCAACGGUGAAACUCAAAGGAAUUGACGGGGGCCCGCACAAGCGGAGGAACAUGUGGUUUAAUUCGAUGAUACGCGAGGAACCUUACCCGGGCUCAAACGACACAGGAACGUACCUGAAAGGGUUCGGCUCUACGGAGCCUGUGUCGAGGUGCUGCAUGGUUGUCGUCAGCUCGUGCCGUGAGGUGUCGGCUUAAGUGCCAUAACGAGCGCAACCCCCAUCGACAGUUGCUAACAGGUCAGGCUGAGGACUCUGUCGAGACUGCCGGCGCAAGCUGCGAGGAAGGCGGGGAUGACGUCAAAUCAGCACGGCCCUUACGUCCGGGGCGACACACGUGUUACAAUGGCAGGUACAGCGGGAAGCCACCUGGCGACAGGGAGCGGAACCCGAAAGCCUGUCUCAGUUCGGAUUGGAGUCUGCAACCCGACUCCAUGAAGCUGGAUUCGCUAGUAAUCGCGCAUCAGCCACGGCGCGGUGAAUACGUUCCCGGGCCUUGCACACACCGCCCGUCAAG
rnacentral:rRNA from 1 species